rnacentral:misc_RNA from 1 species
GAUGAAGAACGCAGCGAAAUGCGAUACUUGGUGUGAAUUGCAGAAUCCCGUGAACCAUCGAGUCUUUGAACGCAAGUUGCGCCCGAAGCCAUUAGGCCGAGGGCACGCCUGCCUGGGUGUCACACGUCGUUGCCCCCCCAUCUACUCCUUCGGGAUUGCGGGGGGCGGAUGAUGGCCUCCCGUGCGCCUCGUCGCGCGGUUGGCAUAAAUGCCAAGUCCUCGGAGACGCACGCCACGACAAUCGGUGGUUGCGAAACCUCGGUUGCCCGUCGUGUGCGGUCGUCGCGCAUCGAGGGCUCGAAAAAAUUGCCGGGCUCCGGCUCGGCUUUCAACGCGACCCCAGGUCAGGCGGGGUUACCCGCUGAAUUUAAGCAUAUCAAUAAGCGGAGGA